UGCGGCGAGCUUGAUGGCGGCGCGGCUGCUCUCACACGCACUGGUGGAAGGAGAGGCCGCGCUCUCGGCUCAGCAUGGUGUCUCGGGUACUGCAGCCCACUGCAGAGCAACUUCGGGUCAUCUUGUUACAUGGGGCUCCACCUCCAGGCUUCCCGCGACAGCUUGAAUCACGAUAAAUUUAGCUCCGCCCGUUGACUCCGCGUCUUGGACCUUUAUUUAUGAGGGAAGGCGGGCUUUACAGGCGAGGCACUCCCACUCUGCCUCUCUGUAGGCUCACCGGUUGACGCCCUAGCCAAUCACGGAGCAUGGCGUGUCGUAGAGGCCAAUCGGAAAGGUCAGUGGCAUUAAGACUUGCUCUUGACCGCUCCUUCUCGGCCUUUGGGUGCGUGGUAGGGUUAGCUGUAACUGGAUUGUUUUCCUACUUGGAAUGAAUCCGGCGCCAUCGCGUGUUUUGUGAGGCCAGUUCUGAGAAUAUGAAGCAGAGAGGAAGGGCCAAAAUUGAGGCGAAUAUGAAGCAUGCGGAUGGGACUUCGGGUGCGAUCUCUGAAACUGGAGGCUCUCUGAUUCGGAGACAAUGUAGGAGAUGUUGUCAUGGUUGGCGUUAAAAAUGUGAUUUCGGAGGAGCUUGAGCGAAGAGUAUGAAGUGAGCAUGCUCCGACAUUCAAAGAAUCCCUUUCCGAAAGCUACUUUGCUACGAUGAGGAGUCAAGGAAAUAAGAUUCCAGCCAAAAAGAUUCGUAUCAAGGAGAUAAUGGGAAAAGAUGUGGAUCUUGGAUAAGAAGUCUAAAUAUUCAGGGAAGGACUAAAAUUGAAGGUUGUUUUUCUUAGAGAAAAUCACUUAUUGUAUUUAUUUGAUCAAGAAUUAGAAGAUUUAUAUGUAAUAAGAACUUCACUCCUUGAAGACUUGAAGAUUAUUGAAAUGAAAGGGGGAGUCACAAUUUUCAGAAUAAUAUUUUUUUGACCAUAUAUAAAUCCUAAUUUGAAUUGUUCUUUAAAUUAUCUCCACAUGUUGUUCUACCUUUACUGAGUAAUUCAGUCUUGAAACUAGCACUCUUUGAGAGAAGUUUUGUUUUUAUUUGAUCCAGGACAAUACUUGAUUAAUUUAUAGUCAGCUAUUAAAAGAUUAAAAAUUGACCUUUCUGAAAUGAUUAUUUUCUUUUUCAGUACAGUAGUCUUAAUAGGUACAAGUAUCAGUUACCAAAGUAUUAACUGAAAAUAGUUAUAUAAAUUUUGCUGCUAGUUCUUCAGUUCACAAAUUAUUUUGCAAAUAAAAGAUGUACAUCAUGAUCAGUGACCACUCACUUCUUUUAAAGUCUGAUGGUGAUUGUUUACUAAUAAUUUAUUCAGUCCUUGCACUGAUAGCAAAGUGCAUAGAUUUACUGCUUUCUUGUAUCCCAGAGACUGAACUCUUUUACAAAAAUGGAUAAUCAAAAGAAGGAAUUGGUCAAUAAAGAUGACAGUGUAGCAAAGAAAUGAAAAUGGAUAAUGCUAGAAGUGAAAGUGGGUGUGAUUAGAAGAUUUGAAAGUGUCAGCUGCAAAGCAAAGCCUGCAGGAAGCUACAGUGUGAACUGCAUUGCAUAUAUAGUUAGUUGCCACCAUAUCUUAAUUUAAAUUGUGCUACUAACAGAAAGCCAUUUACAGUCAAAAUUGAAGACUGAUCAAAAACAGAUCCCAGUUUGGCUAGCUAGCAUUCAGGCCCAAGCACUGUUGUUAGCUGUUGCAAUGAAAGAAAAUAAUUACAAUGAAACUGAAAAUAAAAAUUUUACUGCCAGUAAAGCUGGAUUCAUUA